CGGCGGACGGGUGAGUAAUGCUUAGGAAUCUGCCUAUUAGUGGGGGACAACAUUUCGAAAGGAAUGCUAAUACCGCAUACGUCCUACGGGAGAAAGCAGGGGAUCUUCGGACCUUGCGCUAAUAGAUGAGCCUAAGUCGGAUUAGCUAGUUGGUGGGGUAAAGGCCUACCAAGGCGACGAUCUGUAGCGGGUCUGAGAGGAUGAUCCGCCACACUGGGACUGAGACACGGCCCAGACUCCUACGGGAGGCAGCAGUGGGGAAUAUUGGACAAUGGGCGCAAGCCUGAUCCAGCCAUGCCGCGUGUGUGAAGAAGGCCUUAUGGUUGUAAAGCACUUUAAGCGAGGAGGAGGCUACUGAAGUUAAUACCUUCAGAUAGUGGACGUUACUCGCA
rnacentral:rRNA from 1 species